AGAGACGGAAACAGCGGAUAGAAGAGAGAAGAACUGAAGAAGCUCAGACUCAGCUGAUUCUCCAGAGGAAGGCUCUGCUCCAAGCCCUCUUCUCUAUGGCCACGCCUCCAUAACUAGUGUUAGGGCUUUCCAAGUAUACACAAACACUUAAACUACUUAUAUUUUCUUGGCAACCAAACGCGGUUGACAGGUGCGUUUAUUCUUGUUCCUCUACUGCUUCUUGUUCAUGAAUUUAAAUCACGGUUGAUCGUGAACUUCAAAUGUUUCUGAGCUCAAAUGAACUAUGCAUCUACUUGUGAAUUGUUCCGUUUGGUUUCCGAGAAAUCACAUGCAAUAAAGAAGGAAAUCUUGGAACCCCCUAGGAAAUUCCGAAUUUCCUAUAUCUUUUCCUAUUAUUUCUCAGCAACCACACAGACUUAAACGCCUUUUGGUUGCUGAGAAAGGAUAACAGGAGACUCUACAACCAUCUAGUUUAAUUUGGUUGAGUUUUUCAAUUUUGGGAAACUAAAGAGGAAGAUUCGGGAUUUCCGACUGAGUUUUUCCGUGGUGAGAUCUUCUAAGUUGAUAGCUGAAGAAAUACAAAGAGGACUGGCUGGCGUCGUCCAUUUGAUAGGUUCUAGUAUGCCGAUUUCAUAUUAAAUUUAUAAUGUUAAGGCUUGAUCAUUAUUUUGGUGGUUGAAGUUGAAUCUGAAUUUAAAUUUUUCUAUGACUAGGUGUUUUUUGGGAUUGGAGUAGAAACAAAGAAGAAUCAUGAUUUCUUAAGGAACUGAAACUUUAAUGCUAUGGAAUCUGGGUUCAAGAAGUAAUUGAAACUCAGUAUUCAAAUGCUAUUGGAACCUUGGGGUUCUUUUAUGGUUAGGAAAUAAGGUAAUGGAGAAAAUUUGUGAAUUUUGCACAUCUUUGAGGCCAGUUGUUUACUGUAAGGCAGAUGCAGCACUGCUUUGCCUUUCAUGUGAUGCAAAGGUUCACUCAGCAAAUGCACUUUCCAACCGGCAUCCUCGAACCCUACUAUGUGAAUCAUGCAAAUGCCGCCCAACUUCUCUUCGAUGUUUAGAUCACCGGGUGUUUUUGUGUCGUAAUUGUGACCGGAGCUUGCAUGAAGUUUCUUCACAACAUCAUAGACGGGCGAUUAGAAGUUAUGUGGGAUGCCCAUCUGCUAAGGAUUUUGUGGCAUUGUGGGGGUUUGAAUUGAACGAAAUGGAAACUGUUGCUCCUCGAGAUCAGUUUGUUUCUACUUCAUGUGGUCCUCUGGAGCAAGGUGUGAGAAAUUCAAGCUUUUCAAGACAUUCUUGCCAACAAGAUGGAGUCUCUUCAUUGGCUUUUGAACUAAACUCCUCAAUUUCAAUAUUUGGUGCAGAAUCUGAGGUGGGAUCGAGCACACAACAAAGUAAGGCAUUUUACAAUGGACAAGGGCAGCAAAAAACAUCUGUUAUUUUGCAGCAAAUUCUUGAUUUGAAAAGGCUACAGCUCACUGACAGGAAAAACACAUCAUCUCUGAUACGUGGCCAAGAACAAAUUGAUAUAUCUUCAUCUAAGUUUAGCACUUCACAAAGGCUUGAUGAUGAUCUUGAUGAGCAUUCACAAAAUUCGCUUGGUAUCUGUUCUGAUCUUCAGCAAAUGGAUAGUCCUAAGCAGGAACUGAAAGUGGAGCCUUUUCCCUCACCAUUUUCUCAACUGGAGCAGUUAUCAUCUUCUUCAACUGUUGGAAUCCCUUUGCAUGGAGACCCCUUCUGGCAAUGCAAAAGUCCAAUUCAGAGUAGCCAGUUGUGGUCUCAAAAUAUGCAAGAUCUUGGAGUUUGUGAGGAUGUUAACUGCUUCGAUGAUUUUAACAUUCCUGAUGUUGAUCUGACGUUUCAAAACUUUGAAGAGCUCUUUGGGGGUGAUCAAGAUCCAACCAGAUUACCUGUUGACAUUGAAGAUGUGACGUAUUCCUCCUUGGAGUAGGAUACAUCCCUUGAUAAAUCGGAUGAUGGCUGUACAAGAGUUAUGGAGGUUGCUUCGGUGGUUUCAUCUGUUUGUGUCACUAUGUCAGCUCAUGUGGACAAAGACACAGAUCCUUCUGACCAAGCUCAUCACUUCUCCACAAGCGUGAAUUCUCACUGCCCAAUUCGACCAUCCUUUUCGGCUAUGUCAUUCUCUGUUUCAAUACUCAGUCCAGAAAGCAGUAGUACUGAUUAUCUCGAUAGUGGACUUUCACCUACGACAACACGAGGGCCUCCAUUUGAUUCAUCUGAUCUGGAGAGUGCACAUUCAGAAGCCAGAGAAAAUGCCAUGAUGAGAUACAAAGAGAAGAAGAAGGUCCGAAUGAAUGAAAAGCAAAUCCGACAUACACCUCGGAAAGCUGAUCCAAGAAAGCGGGUAAAAGGUCAAUCACUAAAAGCAGAAGGCUACGAAUCUGACAGUGUCAAUGCGACACCAAGUUAUUGAAGAUAACAUUCUAUUUUUGUAUUUUAGUUUGUUGUGUACAAGAUCAACCCCAGGGCAAAUUAAUGACAUUUCACUGGUACUUGUCAUGUUUGUUACUUAAUUCCAACCAAUUCUUUUGGUCCCUCGUGUAAAGGUAUGUAUAAUAUCGGUUCUAAACGAGCUAUAGCUGCAAAAAUUAGGCCUUGGUGUUAA